rnacentral:rRNA from 1 species
GAUGAACGCUGGCGGCGUGCCUAAUACAUGCAAGUAGAACGCUGAAGGAAGGAGCUUGCUCUUUCCGGAUGAGUUGCGAACGGGUGAGUAACGCGUAGGUAACCUGCCUGGUAGCGGGGGAUAACUAUUGGAAACGAUAGCUAAUACCGCAUAACAGUAGAUGUUGCAUGAUAUCUACUUAAAAGGUGCAAUUGCACCACUACCAGAUGGACCUGCGUUGUAUUAGCUAGUUGGUGAGGUAACGGCUCACCAAGGCGACGAUACAUAGCCGACCUGAGAGGGUGGUCGGCCCCCCUGGGACUGAGACACGGCCCAGACUCCUACGGGAGGCAGCAGUAGGGGAUCUUCGGCAAUGGACGGAAGUCUGACCGAGCAACGCCGCGUGAGUGAAGAAGGUUUUCGGAUCGUAAAGCUCUGUUGUAAGAGAAGGACGAGUGUGAGAGUGGAAAGUUCACACUGUGACGGUAUCUUACCAGAAAGGGACGGCUAACUACGUG